rnacentral:rRNA from 1 species
CACGUAGGGCGCAAGCGUUGUCCGGAAUUAUUGGGCGUAAAGAGCUCGUAGGCGGUCUGUCGCGUCUGCUGUGAAAACUCGGGGCUUAACCCCGGGCCUGCAGUGGGUACGGGCAGACUAGAGUGCGGUAGGGGAGACUGGAAUUCCUGGUGUAGCGGUGAAAUGCGCAGAUAUCAGGAGGAACACCGGUGGCGAAGGCGGGUCGCUGGGCCGUAACUGACGCUGAGGAGCGAAAGCGUGGGGAGCGAACAGG